ACCCAAAGCCCUGGUGCCUGGAGCUACUGCUUGGUUCUCUGAGAGGUCCCAGCACCCUGCAAACUGAGUCCAGAUCUGAGUUUUUCCUUACAGAUUCAUCAGGAUGAGCAUCCAGGCCCCACCCAGACUCCUGGAGCUGGCGGGGCAGAGUCUGCUGAGAGACAAGCCCUUGGCCAUCUCUGCCCUGGAGGAGCUGCCCAGGGAGCUCUACCUCCCACUCUUCCUGGAGGCCUUCAGCAGGAGACACUUCCAGACUCUGACAGUGAUGGUGCAGGCCUGGCCCUUCACCCGCCUCCCUCUGGGAUCGCUGAUGAAGACGCUUCAUCUGGAGACCUUAAAAGCAUUGCUGGAAGGGCUUCACAUGCUGCUUACACAGAAGGAUCGCCCCAGGAGGUGGAAACUUCAAGUGCUGGAUUUGCGGGAUGUUGAUGAGAAUUUCUGGGCCAUAUGGUCUGAAUCCAGGGCCCUGUCCUCCUCCCCAGAGGCCAUGAGUAAGAGGCAGACAGCAGAGGACUGUCCAAGGAUGGGAGAGCACCAGCCCUUGAAGGUGUUCAUAGACAUCUGCCUCAAGGAAAUACCCCAGGAUGAAUGCCUGAGAUACCUCUUCCGGUGGGUUUACCAAAGGAGAGGUUUAGUACACCUGUGCUGUAGUAAGUUGGUGAAUUAUCUAACGUCGAUUGAAUAUCUCAGAAGAUCAUUGAAAAUAAUCCACCUGAAUAGUAUUCAGGAGCUGGAAAUUUGCUAUGUGUCCUGGCCACAUCUGAUAAGAAAGCUUCAUUGUUACCUGAAGGAGAUGAAGAAUCUUCGCAAACUCAUUUUUCUCCAGGUGCCAUCCUUACACGUCAAUUACCGCGAGGAAUGCUCAGUCGCCAAAAUCAGCUCUAUGUUCCUCAGGCUGAAACACCUCCAGCUGCUUAAAAUGAAUAUGGUCACCUUCCACAGAGGGCACCUGGGACAGCUGAUCAGGUGCCUCUAGAACCCCUUGGAGAACUUGGAAUUAACUUGCGGCUACCUAUUGGAAGAGGACUUGAAGUGUCUCUACCAGUACCCAAGCCUCGCUUACCCAAAGCAUCUGAAUCUCAGCUACAUGCUGCAGUUCUGUAUCAGUCUUGAACCCCUCGGAGCUCUGCUGGAGAAAGUUUCUGCCAACACGAGGGUCUCGAGAGAGGCAGCAAUUACUCUUAAGACCCUCAUCUUGGAGGGCUGUCAGAUCCACUACUCCCAACUCAGUGCCAUCCUGCCUGGCCUGAGCCGCUGCUCCCAGCUCACCACCUUCUACUUUGGCAGAAAUUGCAUGUCUAUGGAAGCCCUGAAGGACCUGCUGUGCCACACCAGUGGGCUGAGCAAGUUAAGCCUGGAGAUGUAUCCUGCCCCCGAGGAGAGUUUGAAUUCCUUGGUUCAUGUCGAUUGGGAGAUCUUCACCCCACUUCGGGCUUAGUUGAUGUGUACACUAAGGGAAGUCAGGCAGCCCAAGAGGAUCUUCAUUGGCCCCGCCCCCUGCCCGUCCUGUGGCUCAUCACCGUCUGAGGAACUGGAGCUCCAUCUUUGCUGCUAGGGAAGGCGUGCCUAGCGGGGUAGAGAAAUCCAAUGUUCUCUUCUAGGCCCUUGGACACUAAAAUCUAGUAUGUAGGUGCAAGUUAUUUUCCUCUUUUCUUAUUUCCUUUUUUAAUAAUUCCAAUAUUUUUAUUACAAAAAAAUUGAGAAAGUGUUUCACUAUGUUGCCCCAGCAGGUCUCAAACUGCUGGUCGCAUGGGAUUCUCCUGCCUCGGCCUUCUAAAGUGCUGGGAUUACAGGCAUGAGCGACUGUGCCCAGGCCACAUGUGCAACUUAAAGGAAGCACAGAGCUCUGUUUCAGACAGGUGCUCAGUGCGAGGGAAAAAAUCCUAAGAGCAGGGGGCAAGACUUGAGGAAAAUAUUGAGGUGGAGUCAAUGAGAGCUACAGAGUCAGAAAGAGAAACUAAAAUUCUUCAGUGAUGAGAAUGUUAUCCCUGCAAGGAUGAUUACCAAGAAAUAUCAGAAAUAGAGAACCUCAGUGAAAACUUUCUGGUGUCCUCUGUAAUUGAUUUACUUGUUUUAGGGAUUUAUACAUCAGAAAUCUCUAGUUAUUGAGUUACUGAUGGAAAAAUAACGAGGCACUAGUUUGUCUGUGAUUGAGGUUCAGCUGCGGAACAUCAUAGCAGCCAAAUAAAAUUAGACCAUUUUGAGUAAUUCCCA